rnacentral:rRNA from 1 species
UGAGGAAUUUUCCGCAAUGGGUGAAAGCCUGACGGAGCAAUGCCGCGUGAAGGAAGAAGGCCCUCGGGUUGUAAACUUCUUUUCUCAUAGAAGAAGAUAUGACGGUAUAUGAAGAAUAAGCAUCGGCUAAUUCCGUGCCAGCAGCCGCGGUAAUACGGGAGAUGCAAGCGUUAUCCGGAAUUAUUGGGCGUAAAGAGUUUGUAGGUGGUUUGGUGUGUUUAAUGUUAAAUCUCAAAGCUUAACUUUGAAAAUGCAUUAAAAACUACUAGACUUGAGUAUGGUAGGGGUAAAGGGAAUUUCCAGUGUAGCGGUGAAAUGCGUAGAUAUUGGAAAGAACACCAAAAGCGAAGGCACUUUGCUAGGCCGAUACUGACACUGAGAAACGAAAGCUAAGGGAGCA